GUUUGCCCUAAUUAAAAGAAAAACGCAAAUUAUGAACAAAUUGUAUGGGUGGGUGAAUUAAAAGACAAUUUUGUUGCACUACUAGGUCUAGGUUGAUGUCUCUUCAUCUUAUAUUUUUAUAAUUUGAUACUCAUUAAACAUUUUUCUUAUGAAAUUUUGUGAAGGCUGAUAAAAAUUGUAAUUCAAAAUUUAGCAUUUUAAUCAUAAUUUUUUUAGCAAAGGAAUU
rnacentral:misc_RNA from 1 species